AGCAGCCGCGGUAAUUCCAGCUCCAAUAGCGUAUAUUAAAGUUGUUGCAGUUAAAAAGCUCGUAGUUGAAUUUCGGGGUUAGUAGGUUGGUCAUGCCUCUGGUAUGUACUGGUCUCACUGAUUCCUCCUUCCUGAUGAGCCGUAAUGCCAUUAAUUUGGUGUUGCGGGGAAUUUGGACUGUUACUUUGAAAAAAUUAGAGUGUUUAAAGCAAGCUAACGCUUGAAUACAUUAGCAUGGAAUAAUGAAAUAGGACGUUCGAUCCUAUUUUGUUGGUUUCUAGGAUUGACGUAAUGAUUAAUAGGGAUAGUUGGGGGCAUUAGUAUUCAAUUGUCAGAGGUGAAAUUCUUGGAUUUAUUGAAGACUAACUACUGCGAAAGCAUUUGCCAAGGAUGUUUUCAUUAAUCAAGAAUGAAAGUUAGGGGAUCGAAGACGAUCAGAUACCGUCGUAGUCUUAACCAUAAACUAUGCCGACUAGGGAUCGGAUGAUGUUAAUUUUUUAAUGACUCA
rnacentral:rRNA from 1 species